ensembl:lncRNA uncharacterized LOC114431861
CUGUGCAUCUUAAAGGUGACUGUAGAGCGCCAUCUAGUGAGACAAGUGGUGUAUUGAUACUGCACACGUAAAAAGAUUUAAAGUGAGAAUUCUUCCAAUUCUAGACACUCGGUUGUAAAAAUGUUUCCAUUUUGAAGUUUAACACGAAGGUCUAUGAGGAUUGGCUCACUGUUGGAGCCAGCCCUCGAGUGGUCAGUGUAGGAACUGCAGGUCUUUGGCAAUAAAGUACACAGACGUCAUGAUGUGUCACGCUGCUUUUUCCUCCUUUCAUUCUUCAGAGGUUGCACCUUGGUCCUGACGCACAGCAACAUGGCGGACGGGAGCUAGCAUGCUAACGAGUCCGGCCUCAGACAUCACGCUGGGCAUGCACUGUAUUCAUAUGACCACAGGGGGCGCCUGUACAAUACAGAGACUGAUAUAGUCAAGGCAUUCUGCCUCAGACAUGCGGGGUUUCCUGUCAGUCACUCUGAUAUCUGCCGUCUCAUCGUUUAUUUUCGUCACUGAUUGAGAAAACAGAUUAAAAAAGGAUGUGUUGACUCUGUGGUCAAACUGUGACACACCAGCAUCAGUUCCUCUGAAGAGCCUCAGAGUUCUGUCGGUAGCCUCAGAGAGCUGAUGCAGGCUGGCCGCUGAGGUCCUCACAGAAACUCAGCAACAUGAGGGCGGACAUCUUCUGCCUCCUGUUGGCCUGCGCCGUGGGCCGGAGCGCCGCUGCAGACGUCCUGACUGUUGGAGAGAAGCAGGCGGUGACGCUGCGCUGCCCCCUACCUGUGAAGAACAGCGUGACGUGGAGCAGAGAGCGUGGAGCAGGCAAAGAGAACAUACUGACAGUUCAUCUUGAAAGUGACGUGAAACACAUCAGUGAUCCACACAGACGAUACAGCUCUCAGGCUGAUAACUCCCUGUUCAUUCUCAGAACUGAGGUCUCAGACUCUGGAACUUAUUUCUGUAACGACACAGCAGCUGUGACCCUGACAGUGACAUCACCAGGACAAACUGCUGCACCCCCAACAACCACAAGGACACACAACCACAGCACAACACCCAGAGAGGAGGACGGGGGUGUUCCUACACACGAGCAGCUUCUCCUUGAUUUGCCGUUAAAAAUUGGCGUCCCGCUCUUCAUCCUCCUCAUCCUCAUCGGCGCCGUCGUUGCUUGGAGACGCGGGUGUGAACAUCGAGGAGGGACGGAACACCACGUCUACGAGGAGAUAGAGGGCGCCGCAGGAGGUGGAGGUCGGCCUGUGUACAGUGCGGCUCAUUUCUCAUGUGAUUCAGGCCCAAACGAUCCUACAUACUGCAUCAUCAGCCACCGGCCACACUCAGCUCAUAACGCCUGUUCAUCAGAGCCGACUGACGCCACAUACGUCCUGCUGGAGCACCCCAAAGCAGCCUCCACCACGAAGGAGGCCCGUCUGUAGAUCCACUCUGUUCCUCUGCUCACAGCACAGUAGGUGGCAGUAAUGCACCCACCACUAAACCAAAAGAAGAAGAAGAAGAAGAAACCUGGGUGGCACACCAAGCCCCUCCCACAGACUGAGCCCCUCCCCCUCAGUGUUCAAUGUCUGAGAUUGUUUGUCAAUGUUCAAAAAUACAAAUAAAAAACCAUAAAGGUCUCUGACCA